GGGCCUCGGCUUUCCCCACCUCCCGCCCCCUGCGGCGCCGGACGCGUCCCGCUCCGCCUCCCGAUUGCAACAUCUCCCUCGCCCCGCCCGCCGGGCCCAGGGCUCACAUCCGCCGUGGGGAGGGCAACCUCCCGACCCCUCGGACCCACACGUACCACUGCAGCGCCGGUCGGCACCUAAGACUUAUUGUCUUGGAGAGCCCAGCCUUACCGAAACCCUGAGCCUACCUGGGGCCAGAAAGAGAAACCCCCAUUAAGAUUACAGUUAUGAGGCAGCAGGUGUACUAUAAGGAGUAUAUCUUGUUAAUUGAAAAACUAAAAGGUGAAUGAUAAAAAGAAAAAAGAAGGGAAUUCUUUUCAGAGGACACUCAGAGGGCAAAGUUCCUACUGCCUCUAGGAGGAGAGUCCCGGGAAAAGCAGGUCAAGGGCACUGUUAUGAUUGUGUGUCCAAAUCUUCAAAAUGAUGAAGGUGCCAGAUUCUACUUGAAGGUGACUAUCCUGAGACAGGUAGGGUUUGCUAGAUCAUACAGACAGUGU
rnacentral:lncRNA from 1 species